ensembl:lncRNA
GUUUGAGCAUCUUGGCUACACUAAUGGUCCUACAAGUAUCAUCCUCAAUACAAAAUUGCAGAGUUUGUCCUAUAGGUGGGUUCAACAAUGCACGUCUAGGUAUAGGCAAAAUUACAGACAGGUUUGGGAGCAAAAAGGUUUGUUUGCAUGCAGGUAGCUGAGCAGAAACACUGUGAAUGUGUGUCACUUAUUGGGCCCGUGUCUUCAGUUUACCUCGUGAAUGAGCGAUUUGUCUACUCCUCUGCACAUAAAAGAAUCUCCUCCAGAGGGCACCAUUGGUUCAAGCACGAUAUACACGCUACUAUUUGUGUGUGUGUGUCAAAUUCACAUGAGUAAAAUCAACUGUCACUGUACAGCCCGUCAUGGAUUUCCUGCUGUUAUGGACUACGAUACGUAAAUUGAGCAGAUUCAUUCUAAGAGUGACAAAUGUGAUAAUUCUCGGGAGAUUCCAUCUGGUAAUUUACAGAGAGCUUCCUGUCUGCUAUCUUCUCAGUUUCCCAAACCCACGAUAAUUAAAUGAACUGCAAUUUAUCUCUAAACCCGUAUGCUACUAAAUUUCUCUUAUUCCUUCUGGAGGAACAGCUGGAUUUCUGUAUUGUUAUUAAGCACUGGGCUAAUUAUUAGGUCUUCAAAGAGGAAGCAUAUAAAUAUGAUGAUAUAACACUGGCAUCAGAAAGCAAGGCAAGAAAAAGAUGGCAGUAAGAAAACAAAGUCACAUUUAACCCCCGUUUUUACUUUUGUAUGAUUGUCUUGCUGCAAGAGGAUUUAAUAGAUAGAACUGAACUACAUCCUGGGCCCUGGAGUGAGGAAUUCCUUCGAAGAACCAAGCCUUGUAUUCCUUACAAAAAGGAUUAGCGGUCUCUGAAUGCCUGACUAAUUUCUUAAGCACGGUUUGUGCCGCUAUAAAGAGAACUGUAGCAAUUCUAAUACUCCACUGCUAUUUGCUUCCUCUUAGCUGUAUCAAGGAAGACAGAGGCAGUGAAAGAAAGAACUAGAUGGAGCAAAAGAUCUGAGACUAGAGCAGAACAGUGCUGAAGUCAAGUCAGCUCGAAUCAUUUGCAAAAGUGCACAUCCACUUGGUGUAGAAGGAUCAGCUCUGAAAUGUGUAUUAAAAAAAAAAAAGCUUCACAAGCUGGAGGCACGUCAGUCAUUUUUAAUGGAAGCUAUGGGUAAAUUGGAUAGAGUAUCAAGGGUUCGGGUGCUAAUAAUUCCUGUGUCAGAGGUUACUUGUAUGCUAUUUGCACUAUUAGUACUUGUGCCCUCUGCAGCAGCUUCUGCUGUUCCGCCAGCUGCUGUCUGCUCCGCGCUGCGCACGCACUGCCUGGGGAUGGAGGCUUCGGCUCCAGCAGAGAGCUCAUCGCAGUCAGAAGACCUCUUGGUAUUUUGAGAUAAUGAUUAUUAUUAGUGCCAACACCCCUUUCGGGGGGACCACCGCACUAAACUAUAGCACAAAAUUGGCCGUCCCCAUUUGUUAAUUAAUUUUGUUUGUAAAAUACUCCUCUGAGGGAGAGGGAAUAAAUGUUACC